ACAAUAAUAAAAUAACAAAAUGGUUAUCCAAUAAGCUGAGAAGGAAAGCUGGGAAAAAUAGAAUAACAGGUAUUAAAAAAGAUCAGAUAGGAGGCGGAGCUAGCAGCGGUGCAGAGCAGUCGCACACAGUAAGAGCUCCUCGCCACAAACCGCAAAAGAAACGUCUUACGGGACGAAAACUGACAACCACCUGGGUCUAACCGCCGACACCAAACACGGGGACCAAACAUGGGUCGGAAACACAAGAAAACCAGAGCCGAAAAGGACCCAACCACCCAUGACAUCAGGGAACUUCUAUAACGCUUGCAAAAGUCUGCAUGGGACAAUAUGGCGGCUGGAGACAACGCCUACUUCUUUUUAUCAGAUGAUUUCUCCAUAGACCCCGGUGAAGGUAUGGCAAAAGCACCACCACCCAACCCAAAGCCCUCACAUACCCUGACAGAAGAACCUGCCACAGCCUCUGUGCUGAAGAGCAUGCUAGUAGAACUUAGAACUAACAUAGCAGCCGACAUGACAGGCAUAAAAGAGGAGGUGGAGGGGGUCACCACCAGGG